AUCUUCAGGGCGGGGUGUGAUUCCCCACCGGCGGUACAGCCCGCGAGCCGAAAGGCAUGACCCGGUGAAACUCCGGGGCCGACAGUAUAGUCUGGAUGGAAGAAGAU
rnacentral:ncRNA from 1 species